rnacentral:rRNA from 1 species
GUGGGGAAUUUUGGACAAUGGGGGCAACCCUGAUCCAGCCAUGCCGCGUGCAGGAAGAAGGCCUUCGGGUUGUAAACUGCUUUUGUCAGGAACGAAACGGAAACGGGUAACAUACGUUUCUAAUGACGGUACCUGAAGAAUAAGCACCGGCUAACUACGUGCCAGCAGCCGCGGUAAUACGUAGGGUGCGAGCGUUAAUCGGAAUUACUGGGCGUAAAGCGUGCGCAGGCGGCUUUGUAAGACAGAUGUGAAAUCCCUGAGCUUAACUUAGGAACUGCAUUUGUGACUGCAAGGCUAGAGUAUGUCAGAGGGAGGUGGAAUUCCAAGUGUAGCAGUGAAAUGCGUAGAUAUUUGGAAGAACACCGAUGGCGAAGGCAGCCUCCUGGGAUAAUACUGACGCUCAUGCACGAAAGCGUGGGGAGCAAACAGGAUUAGAAACCCCUGUAGUCC